GACAGAGGGUGCAAACGUUGUUCGGAAUUACUGGGCGUAAAGCGCGUGUAGGCUGUUCUGCAAGUCGGGUGUGAAAGCCCCGGGCUCAACCUGGGAAGUGCACUCGAAACUGCAGAACUUGAGUCCUGGAGAGGAAGGCGGAAUUCUCGGUGUAGAGGUGAAAUUCGUAGAUAUCGAGAGGAACACCGGUGGCGAAGGCGGCCUUCUGGACAGUGACUGACGCUGAGACGCGAAAGCGUGGGGAGCAAACAGG
rnacentral:rRNA from 1 species